rnacentral:rRNA from 1 species
UUUCGCAAUGCCCGAAAGGGUGACGAAGCGACGCCGCGUGUGGGAAGAAGGCCUUCGGGUUGUAAACCACUGUCGGGAGUUAGGAAAUGUAAGGGUGCUAAUAGUAUCCUUACUUGACUAAGGCUCCGGAGGAAGCCACGGCUAACUCUGUGCCAGCAGCCGCGGUAAUACAGAGGCGGCAAGCGUUGUUCGGAAUUAUUGGGCGUAAAGAGCACGUAGGCGGCCUUGUAAGUCAGUUGUGAAAGCCUUCUGCUUAACGGAAGAACAGCAGCUGAUACUGCAAGGCUAGAGUGCGGAAGGGGAGAGUGGAACUUCUGGUGGAGCGGUGAAAUGCGUAGAUAUCAGAAGGAACACCGGCGGCGAAGGCGACUCUCUGGCCCGUAACUGACGCUGAGUGUGCGAAAGCUAGGGGAGCAAACGGGAUUAGAUACCCCGGUAGUCCUAGCCGUAAACGAUGGGCACUAAGUAGAGGGGUUUU